UCUUUAUAAUAACUUUAUUUUAAUAGAUUAUUUUAUAUAAAUUAAUUAUUUUAAUAUUUAAUUAUUUUAUUGGGGUGAUACAAAAAUUUAAUUAACUUUUUUAAUUCAAUUACUUAAAUUAAAGAUUUAAAAAUUAUGAUCUAUUAUUAAUAAUUCAAAGAAUAAGA
rnacentral:rRNA from 1 species